GUGAGGAAUAUUGCGCAAUGGACGAAAGUCUGACGCAGCCAUGCCGCGUGAAGGAUUGACGGCCCUAUGGGUUGUAAACUUCUUUUGUAUAGGAAUAAACCCUCGUUCGUGAACGAGGCUGAAGGUACUAUAAGAAUAAGCACCGGCUAACUCCGUGCCAGCAGCCGCGGUAAUACGGAGGGUGCAAGCGUUAUCCGGAUUUAUUGGGUUUAAAGGGUCCGUAGGCGGAUCGUUAAGUCAGUGGUGAAAUCCUACCGCUCAACGGUAGAACUGCCAUUGAUACUGGCGAUCUUGAGUAUGUAUGAAGUUGGCGGAAUGUGUGGUGUAGCGGUGAAAUGCAUAGAUAUCACACAGAACACCGAUUGCGAAGGCAGCUGACUAAUACACAACUGACGCUGAGGGACGAAAGUGUGGGGAUCAAACAGGAUUAGAUACCCUGGUAGUCC
rnacentral:rRNA from 1 species